rnacentral:rRNA from 1 species
UACGUAGGGUGCGAGCGUUAAUCGGAAUUACUGGGCGUAAAGCGUGCGCAGGCGGUUGGUUAAGUCUGAUGUGAAAGCCCCGGGCUCAACCUGGGAAUGGCAUCGGAAACUGGCUGGCUAGAGUGUGGCAGAGGGGGGUGGAAUUCCGCGUGUAGCAGUGAAAUGCGUAGAGAUGCGGAGGAACACCGAUGGCGAAGGCAGCCCCCUGGGCUGACACUGACGCUCAGGCACGAAAGCGUGGGGAGCAAACAGG